GAGUUUGAUGCUGCCGAACGCCAGCUACUUCAACUGUAAGUCUCUCUUUGAAACAUACAUGGGAUUGCUGACUCCGAUGUGAUGGACAAGAAGGAAGUCAAACAAAAGGUAAUGAAGUUACCGAGAAAGUCCAAUGCAAUGUGCAACGAGUUUCAAUUGUGAUGCAGUGUGGUGAAUUUACGUCACCAAGAAUCAUCCACCGAUAAGCAUUUGGAGACUGGAGUUGAGAGACUGCUGUUUCUAAUGAUCAAGAUGUUGAUGCUGCAUUUGGCCUCAUGUGCAACAAUUGCAAGUUGAAUAUCUUCGACAGGCCCAACAUGGCUAUCGGCCUCCUUCACUGAUGAGCACGCUUCUCCUAUUCCUUUGUCAAGAAUACUCAAGGUGGCACCUUCAAGUCCAUUAAAUACAGGAUUGAUGAGCUUGACGAAGAGAAGUCUGUUAUCUAGCUGCUACUCAAUUAGAAAUGAAGCAACUUUUACUCAGAUACACAUCAUAGAAACUAUCACCUUAGUGGGAUUGCAUCACAAAGUCUAAUGCAGCAAGGU